rnacentral:rRNA from 1 species
UGCCAGCAGCCGCGGUAAUACGGAGGGUGCGAACGUUAAUCGGAAUUACUGGGCGUAAAGCGCGCGUAGGCGGUUUGGUAAGUUGGAUGUGAAAGCCCCGGGCUCAACCUGGGAACUGCAUUCAAAACUGCCAGGCUAGAGUUUGGUAGAGGGAGGUGGAAUUUCCUGUGUAGCGGUGAAAUGCGUAGAUAUAGGAAGGAACACCAGUGGCGAAGGCGGCCUCCUGGACCAAAACUGACGCUGAGGUGCGAAAGCGUGGGGAGCAAACAGGAUUAGAUA